rnacentral:rRNA from 1 species
GUCGAGGGGCAGCGGGGAAAAGCUUGCUUUUCCGCCGGCGACCGGCGCACGGGUGCGCACCGCGUAUGGAACCUGCCUUGUACAGGGGAAUAGCCCAGGGAAACUUGGAUUAAUGCCCCGUAGUACCGUAUUUCGGCAUCGUUAUACGGUUAAAGCCUUCGGGCGGUACAAGAUGGCCAUGCGUCCCAUUAGCUUGUUGGUAAGGUAACGGCUUACCAAGGCUACGAUGGGUAGGGGCCCUGAGAGGGGGAUCCCCCACACUGGUACUGAGACACGGACCAGACUCCUACGGGAGGCAGCAGUGAGGAAUAUUGGACAAUGGAGGAGACUCUGAUCCAGCCAUGCCGCGUGCAGGAAGAAUGCCCUAUGGGUAGUAAACUGCUUUUAUACGGGAAGAAAAAGAGCUACGUGUAGCUUACUGACGGUACCGUAAGAAUAAGGACCGGCUAACUCCGUGCCAGCAGCCGCGGUAAUAC